rnacentral:rRNA from 1 species
AGUCGAACGGCAGCACGGGAGUAAUCCUGGUGGCGAGUGGCGAACGGGUGAGUAAUAUAUCGGAACGUGCCCAGUCGUGGGGGAUAACGCAGCGAAAGCUGUGCUAAUACCGCAUACGAUCUCUGGAUGAAAGCGGGGGACUUGUAAAAGCCUCGCGCGAUUGGAGCGGCCGAUAUCAGAUUAGCUAGUUGGUGGGGUAAAAGCUCACCAAGGCGACGAUCUGUAGCUGGUCUGAGAGGACGACCAGCCACACUGGAACUGAGACACGGUCCAGACUCCUACGGGAGGCAGCAGUGGGGAAUUUUGGACAAUGGGCGCAAGCCUGAUCCAGCAAUGCCGCGUGCAGGAUGAAGGCCUUCGGGUUGUAAACUGCUUUUGUACGGAGCGAAACGGUCUUCUCUAAUAAAGGGGGCUAAUGACGGUACCGUAAGAAUAAGCACCGGCUAACUACGUGCCAGCAGCCGCGGUAAU